ACUGGAGUGUUGAAAUUUCAGGGUUAAACAUGUCAGAGUUGAUUUCAACUCUCAAAGUGUCAUUUUAACACAUUCUGAUUAAAAUGGUGUUCAGUGUUGGAGUUAUUUAACAGAGUUAUUCCAACCUAAGCAAAUCAACUCUGUAGAGAUGUAAAGUGCAUCUCGGCCGAGUUAACUUGCUUGAUAGGCCCCUGGGCUUCAGUCCAGGUAACCCCAUGUGUUAUGCCCCUGGGCUUUCAGCAGGGUGAACCCGUGCAUCAUACAAUAGUCUCCUGUGCGUGGCGUGGUCAACCGUCGUUUAUUUCGCUGCUGGAAUCAGGAAUGGAUGCGGAGUUGGACUUUUACACGAGAGAAAAAUGUUGAUCCAGGUUCGGUAUUGCCAACAGCAGAAGUAUGUGAAGUUGGAUGAGGUUGAUGGAUGUUUUGAUUUUGUGCAGUUCCAUGUCAAAGUCAUCGAGAGAUUUUGCCUGCCACCUGACGCAAAAUUAGUGUACAAAGAUGCAACAGGGACAGAAGUUGAUGAGGACAUUUUCAGUGACCUUGUCAGCCAAGGCAAUGUGACUCUAUCAGUUUUCUCAAAUGACGAAUUUUCCGAUUGCUCCUUGUCCUCUCCAUCCGAUUAUUCUGAUUCAAGCUUCAGUUCAUGUGCAAGUACAUCAACUAUACUCCUAGAUGAGGUUCCUAGGAAGAAACCAAGACUUGAGGGCCCACU